UCAUGCCUGCGAACAAUCCACUGCUUUGAAUGCCAACGAGGCAAAGUUCAGCAGGUCAGAUAACCCUCAGCAGAAAGAAGGGAAACACAGCGGUAAGACUACACGCUUUCAUUGCCUCCGCUGAGCAAAAUUAAAACCACAUUACACCGAACGUUACCGGCGACACUGAGCAGAGGAACUGUGAGAGCCCUGCAUUUGCUCACGUUGCCUCAGCAGGCAGGGAGGAAGGGGUUUACGGAGCAGCUCCCCAGCGGGCAUUCGAACUCUGGCUGGUCUGGGACAGCCCUAGAACAGGGAUGGCAACACCAGGACAGGCACGGCGCUGGGAAAGACGCCAGGAGCCUCGCCCGAGCCCGGCCCCUCCGGGGUGCGUUAAGGCUGCUCUUAGGGGCAGGAUGCGAGCAAUGCGAGUGCUGGGCGAGGAGGAGUUACCCGCCGUCCCCAACAACGCGGGACAAAGAAACCUUGGAGAUCCUCAGUAGAACAUAAGGUGUGAUUAGUGUUACUGCACUGUCAGAAAUAGCAAUUCCUGCAUGGAAGUGUUGAGCAGCAGCAUUGCAAAACAGGACUAGCCGAAGCAGCAGCUUAGAUCUGCUGGGGCCAGCUGUGCUCAGGGCCUCAGGACCACCAGUACAGGAUGAUGCCACUGCUACAGACUGAAGUGGGAUCCCGCAGCAAUUCAGCUUCAAAAGUCACAGGCCACCUCUCUAGGCAAGUACUUGUCAUUAAAUUAUUAUCAGUAUUUUGUAUAGCAGCAUCUGUUACACAAAUUUGAAAUCGAAGCAGAAGUCCAUAUAACAAGCAGGAAAAGUUUGAGAACACAAGUGUGGUCUGCAAGUUAUUAAUAUCCCGUAUGAGGAAAGCUGGAAGGUAAAGUGGAAGAAUGAAGUUACUCAUAAAUGAGAGCUGGGAAGUAAGCUGACAAAGGCCUGUACUGUCCACCUUUUUUAAAGAUCAAUGCAAACCUUUAUUUUCUAUAAAUAAUUUAAUAAAUACUUUUGUUUUACAAUGAUACAAUAAAUUCAUAGCAAAUGA